rnacentral:rRNA from 1 species
AUUGAACGCUGGCGGCAGGCCUAACACAUGCAAGUCGAGCGAGCGGAGGGCGGGUGAGUAAUGUCGGGGCAACUGCCUGAUGGAGGGGGAUCAGUACUGGAAACGGUAGCUAAUACGGCAUCACAUCAGAUGAGCGAAGAUGGGAAUACCUAGUAGGUGGGGGAACGGCUCACCUAGGCGACGCUCCCUAGAUGGUCUGAGAGGAUGACCAGCAACACUGGAACUGAGACACGGUCCAGACUCCUACGGGAGGAAGCAGUGGGGAAUAGUGCACAAUGGGCGCAAGCCUGAGCCAGCCAUGCCGCGUGUGUGAAGAAGGCCUUCGGGUUGUAAAGCACUUUAAGUUGGGAAGCGUUACCAACAGAAUAAGCACCGGCUAACUACGGGCCAGCAGCCGCGGUAAUUC